AAGAACAAAAGGGAAAAAGCAUAAAACAAACCCUAGAGAAGAAAAUCAAGAGAAAAUUCAUUGAAUUUCAAGGAAUUAAGCAAGUAAAGGUAAAAUUUCUUAAUUCUAGCUUGCGAUUUACCUUUCCUAUGCAUUCUUUUUCAAUUACCAUGGUUAAAAUUCAAGAUCUCAUGAAGGAUUCAUGGCUGACCGAAUUUAGGGAGAGAAGAUUUGAUGAUUUAUUUGGUUAGAUUUCAAGGUAUCUUAGUGUUUUUAGUUGUUUGGUGAUGUUUAGCAUGAAAAACAAGCAAGAAAUUUCAUGCCCUUCACCCACACUCCUUGGCUGAAAUUUUCAAGAGAGAAAUUGGAUAAUGGACUUUGAUAAAUUUCAUGCUAUUUAGGUGUUUUUAGUUGUUUUAUGAUGUAAGGUGUAAAAAUCAAGCAUGAAAAUUACAUGUUCUACACUAAACCUUCAAUGGCCGAAUUUUACAAGGAAGAUAUUGAUGAUGGAUUUUUGUGAUAUUACAUAUUAUUUAACUUGUAAUUGAUGACUUGGAGUGUUGGAAGUGGAAUCAAGUUAAUUGGAGUUGAAUUGGAUGUAUUGGCCAAUUAACCGGUGUAUAGAUCGAAUUAGGCCAAUACCAUUUUAUUUCGAUACAUAAUUGAAGCUACGUAGAACACCAUAUUUAGAUAAUAAUCCGAACAUUUCGCAUCCCAUUUCAACAUUCAUAUAGUGCCUAAAUUAGUUUUAUAACGAUUUAGUACAAAUAUAGUAAAUUGCUUGUUGUGCAUUAUGUUUAGGUGGUGAAACUUCCGAUAAGGGUAAGGAGAUUGUACCCGAAGACCAAGACUAGGAGUACUUCGACUCCGAUAUUGUGAGUAACCUUAUUAUCUCUUAAUUAUCUAAAGUAGUUUUUAUUCGUUUUUGUGAUUUUAUAGAAAAAUGAGUUUAAAUGGUAAAUCCUUAUGUUUUAUAAGUAAAAUGUGAUUAAAUAAAAUGAGUUUUAUAAAUCAUUUUGAAAUUGAAUGAUGAUUUUAGAAAUUGAGUAAUUGGAUACUGUUGAUUGUGUUAUAAAUUUAUGGUUUAAAUUGAAUGGCUUCUGGUGAUAUUGGCAUGAAUGGUUGAAUUGGAAAUUAUGUUGAAAUUGUAUGAAUUGUUUGUUUUGCCUUAACAGGCUGGAUAGUAUUAUAUUAGCCAUGUUAUGCUGCCAAAAUGUUAUUGAUUUGGUGGGUUAUGUAUUUAGCCUACUGCAGUGGACGGGUUUCCGUGGACCAGCCUAUUAGAGGGGCACGGUAAACCUCGUUAUAUUUAUCUUAGUACGAGAGGCGCGGAAGGUAUCUCCUGAGGUAAAGCUUUAGAGUUCACUACAAGCUAAACCACCACGUGAGGGUGAAGUCAGCCAACGCCAAGGAACGGCUAUGCUUUUAAACGUAAAAAUGUGUUUUAUGCGUAUAUGAACUUUUCUUUAACAACCUUGGUGGACUCGAUUGGAUGCCUCGGCCAAGGUAUCCCUGAGAAUGAGUUUUGGCAUGAGCCAAAUUUUUAAGAAAUUCAUAAGCCAUGUUGAUUAUUUGAGUGAAAUGAAAUUAUUUUAUUUAGUUGCAAUGAGUUUGAAACGUUAUGAAUAAUAGUAUGAUGAACUAUUUUAAGUUGUCUCCAUUUACUCGACUUUAGAUAUUUUAAAUGAUAUUUGUUUACUUACUGAGUUUAUAUGAACUCAUCACCCACCUUUCCCCUUAUUCCAGGAUCAGGACAGUUCGUAAAUAGCUAAUUACGUCAAGGGUUAUUAUUGGACUUGCCUCCUCAGAAAUUGUAGGUCCAUAGCCUUUGUUACCUUUGGUCAUUCGGGGGCCCACAUGUCAUUGUAAAUUAAAUUACAUACUCUGGUUAUCUGUGUUACUGUAUGUAUGAAUUUAUUUUGCUUUUACGCUAUAAAAAU
rnacentral:lncRNA from 1 species